GGUGAUGCGUGGCGGUGUGCGGCGGUAAUACAUAGGGCCCGGUGGUUGUUCGGAUUAGCGGGGCGUACAGGGUGCGUAGGUGGUGAGGUAAGUCGGAUGUGAAAGCGCGGGGCUCAACGCCGAAAUGGCAGUGGAAACUACCUUGCUCGAGGGUUGGAGGGUGGACGGGAAUGCUUGGUGUAGCAGUGAAAUGCGUAGAUAUCAAGCGGAACACCAGUGGCGAAGGCGAGUCCCUGGACAACUCCUGACACUGAGGCACGAAAGCUAGGGGAGCAAACAGGAUUAGAUACCCGAGUAGUC
rnacentral:rRNA from 1 species